GCUCUGUGCGUUAUAGCGGAUCUUGGACAUGUCUCCGGUAAGAAUUUGAGCAUGGUGGAGAUUAAGUCUGAAGGCAACUCAUUCACUACGUCGAAUGUGUUCGAAAUGUUUGAACCUUGGGAAACUUUCGUCUUUUUUUGUGCAACGGCAGGUCUUACGUUUUUGUGUCCAUGUAGUGCGCGUGCGGUUACACGGACACGAAGACGUCCAGGUAGAGGCGGUCGUACGACUCCCGGAAGAAGAGGAUGAGCACCAGGCUGAAGACGCACGAGCCCGUCAGGCACCAGUUCAGCCACGACAAAUCUGCGCACAAAACAGCGCCCGUGUGAGAACGCCGCCAGUGUUGAGGUACCUGUACAGUAGAAGGUGAGGAAGAAGAGCAGCAGGCCGGUGACCAGGUUGCCCAAGAAGGUGACCACGCCGCACGUGAUGCCUUCAGGGACCGGGUAGACCGUCUCGAUGAACAGCUCGAAGAAGAUGGGCACGCUGCUGUUGAUGAAGAUGCCCACCAGGAUGCACGACGUGUACAAGAUGGCUGCCACGGGAGAAACAACAACAACAAAUAAAAACAUUACAGUUGAUGAGCACAUUAAUAUGAUACUGAACAAUAACACUCUUGUCUUUAUGCCAUCAUAAUAACGAUAAUGACGAAAUCCUUCCGACA